CCAUUGGUGAUGAGCUGUUAACACGUAAGAAGGAUCCCUAUGUGGGUUUUCUUCUAUGAAAUUUUCUUGUUACGCUUGGCUUCUGAGAUUU